rnacentral:lncRNA from 1 species
UGGAAAAGAAAAUAAAUAAAAUAAAAAUGGAGAUUUUAUGGAAUGGAAAUAUGAGAAGAACAAAAGCGUAGACUUUUUGGGAAAGAGUGUUUACAGAAAAAGAUGGAUCUCUUUUGAGUCACUUCACCCCCUAUUUAUAGUGCUAGGGGAGAUAGUCUAAUCCUACUUAAAUUCCCAAAAGAUAAAUACAUUUAAUUGAAGAUAAAUAAAGAUAAAUAAAAUAAAAUCCUCAAAUGAAAUAAUCCUUAAUAAUUAUCUUAAUAUUAAUUAUCCUAAUAUAAUUAAAAUAGAGUCUGAUAGAAUAAAAUCUCUUCUUUCUGAAUUUCAACCCUUGUGUCCUCCAUGCUUGCACUUUUGGCACUAACUUUUCCUUGUGUCGCACAUUGGCCCAUUUUAUCUCUAAAUUCACGCUUUUGGCCCUUAAUUUUGCUUUUGCCUCAAAUUUAGUCCUUAUGAGAUAAAAGAUCAUAAAUAGCUCAAAUUAGCAAGAUCAUACUCAGAAUAAUUACAUAAUUAAUACAUAAAAAUACGUUAUUCUAGAAUGUUAUCAUGGGUAUUCGGCUAAAGAAGAAUUUAUGCAUAAUUUAUAUGUUUUGGUUAUACGAAAUCAAGUUGGAAGUGUUCAUGAUUUGAUAAUAACUUAUUUUGGUUUAAAUAAUUUAAUUUUUGUAUAUGAUUAAGUAUUUGGUUGCUUAUGACUUACUAAGCUUUAAUAGCUUACUGUGUGUAUGUUUACUCUUUGUUUUUAUAGAUUUUUUUUUGAAGUCACGAUACGAGCUCGGGGAUCGUUAGCAAAGUCUAUCACACUAUCGACAUCUUUUGGCAUUUUGUUAAAUUUUGAAUUCGAUCUUAUGGCAUGUAUAGGCUUGCUUAUGUUUGGUUAGUUUUGGAUCAUGUAUAUAAAUGGCCAUGCGAAAAUGGCUUAAUGUCCAUGCUUAUGAUCGGUUGGGUUUAAAAAUGACUCGUCUAUGAUCAUUUUGUUAAAGUUAGGUUUUUAUGAGUUCUUGAUCAAGUGCUUAAUGUGUUUAGUUUUAUCAUUUUGGCUAUGGCUUUUUUAUAUGUGAUAUUGAUUGCUAUAUUUCGUUAAUAAUGUGGUCAAUGAGUUGAUAUAUAUAAUAUGUGUGGUAUGUAUGGAUUUGAUAACUAAUUGAGUUAGAUGAUUAUAAGUUUGGGUGUAUAGGUUAUUUUGAUUCGGUUUGUAUUGAUAAUGUAUUUGAGUGUAUAUUGGUUACAUAUGUUUGAUUGUUAAAUGGUAAGUAGUAUACGUGUUUCAUAAUUGUUUUAGAUUUGAAUCAAAAAGGGUAAAUGAUGGAUAUGGGUUAAGUAUGUUUUGGUUAGUUUUUUUUUUUUUUUGGAUAGUUAAAAAGGUUAAGUUGGUGCUAAUGUUAAAUUAGGUAUGUGUACAUAGGUGCUAUAAACUCAGUUACUAUAUUGGUCCAUUAUGAUAGUUGUAUAAUCUUGAUAAUUGUAUGAUCGAAUCAAUGGCUAGUUAAUAGGAUAAAUGUGAAGAUUAGGUAAACUAAUAUGCAUAUGCGAAUUUAAUAUACAUAGAAAUGUUAUUUAUGUGCAAUAUUAAACGUGAAAUUUGUUUAUAAGGCAAGUGAGCAUUACAAUUAUAUAAACAUCAAUAGUAUGUUCGGCUAGGAUGUUAUGUUACUAUGCUUGUAUAUACAUUUGGUUAUUAAAAGGUAUAAAAUGGUUCGGUUGGUUUAAGAGGCACAUAUAAUUGAAGUAAUAGGAUAAUCAAUUUAUGUUAUAUAUGUUUUGAUCUAUGUUCGAUAUAUACUAUAUAAUGAUAUAUGCUGGGAUAUGUUUUAAGUGUAUAAAUGUUAUUUAUGUUAAGCCAGGUGGUUUGGACAUUUUUAUGUAUUAAGUACUUGUAAUAUGAUUUAUUGCACAUUGUUAAAUUGAAUAUGUAAUUAUUUAGACGAUAAUAAUAUGGUUAAUUAUUGAAGCAAGAGUAAAUUUAUCAAAGUCUGCUCUCUCUAGCACGUCUCUGUCUGCUCUCUCUAGCAGUAUUAGGGUUUUUUUGGUUUUGUUUUAUUGAUUUAAUGUGACGGCGUCUUCUAUUAAGAUCAUUCUUCUUACUUUCGACAUUAAGGUUUAGAGUAAGUAUGGAGACAGAAUUUGCGGGAUUAACAUUGGAGGAGGAGGAAGACGAAAUUUUUCAAAUUCAAUCUGAGGAGGAAACGAAUGGAGUAACGGAAGUCUUGCAAUUGGUGGGUUGUUUCUUAACGGAAAGUACUGUCCAUUUUCCAGCAAUGAGAAGUACUAUGGCAAAUUUGUGGCACCCCGUACGGGGAGUUCAAAUUAGAGAUUUGGGGGAAAAAAGGUACUUAUUUAAAUUUUUUCAUAUAAUGGAUCUUCCAUAAAUUGCAAAUGGGGGAGGACCCUUUGAAGGUCCCGCUUAUCUACUCACCUCUGUGGACCCACAUACAUGAUGUCCCAAUUGGUUUCGUAUCAGAAAAUCCAGCAAUUCAAAUGGGAAAUUUUAUUGGAGAGUUCCUGGAAUAUGAUGGUUCAUACCUGGGAAAAGAAAGUAGAAAUUUUAUGAGAAUACGCGUCAAAAUUGAUAUAUGGUACCCUUUAAAAAGGAAAAAACAGAUAAGGUGUUAUGGAAAGUGCUCAUAUGCUCAUUUUAAAUAUCAACGACUUUCACUUUUUUGCUUUUUUUGUGGUCGACUGGGCCAUAGCGAUUCCUUUUGUGAAACAAAGAUGGUGUUAGGAGCAGAAACCAAAGAGAUGGGAUGGGAUUUAUCAAUUAGGACACAGUCUCAUCGAGCUCAAAUGAUGACCAGUGUAUGGUUGCGAGAAGAAUGUGGGGACAAGGGAGAGGAAAUAAUAGGGAAAGUCAAACUAAGGAGGUUAACGUCAAGGAUCCAAUGGAUAAUAGGGGGAUUUGUGAAUUUCUUGAUCCAGUAUUGGGAAUUAAUUUGGUAGGAAGGGAAUAUCAUACAGGAAGUAAAUACAAGAAUGAAAGUGGUAAUUUGGAGAACAGCUCAAUGGAACAUGAUCUUGAAGAUGAUGUGAUCGUUAGAGAAGAGGGUAAAAAGAGAAACAGAAGGGACAUGGAAGAUGUCUUGGCCAAAGAGAAGACUAACGUUUUGGCGGAAAGGAGUAAGAGAACAGUGGAGGUUAAUCAUAAAUUAUCCGCGGCUGUCAAGUGGGCAGCUGACCGAUCACAAUGAAAAUUUUAAGUUGGAAUAUCCGUGGAUUGGGGAGUCCACGGACAAUUCAAAGGCUUCGUCAGUAUAUGCUGAAGCUAUACAAUCCCCAGAUAGUCUUCUUCAUGGAGACGAAAAUUAAUUGCAGUCAGAUGGAAAAAGUUAGAAGAAGCUGUGGGUUUUUAAACGAUAUUGAUGUUAGUUCAGAGGGAUCUAGAGGUGGGCUAUGUUUGGCUUGGCGAGCUGGGAUAAAUGUCCAGCUCCAAAGCUUUUCAAAAUGACAUAUUGAUGUGAUCAUUAAUGAUACAACAGAAGGGUACAAAUGUAGAUUUACAGGGUUUUAUGGGUCUCCAUAUCCACAAGAAAGAGUUGAGGCAUGGAAUCCUUUACGUCACUUAGGCAUGGUUAGGAAGCUACCAUGGAUGGUUUGUGGAGACUUCAAUGAAAUUCUGUAUAGUUUUGAGAAAAAAGGUGGUUUAUCGCGUGAGGAAGGACGAAUGGAAGCUUUUCGUAAGGUAUUGGAGGAGUGCAGCUUGUCUGAUAUGGGGUUUAAUGGAAACUGGUUUACGUGGGAAAGGGGGAAUUUGCCUGAAACUAAUAUUCAAAAGGGGUUGGAUAGGGGAGUGGCGAAUGAAGAAUGGUUACAAAUAUUCCUUGAAUUUCAGAUUCAGCAUCUCCCACAUACAUUUUCUAAUCAUUGCCCAUUAUUGGUUCAUACAAAAAAGGAAUGCAGAGAAAGGGUCCAUAAAGAAUUCAAGUUUAAAGCAUGGUGGGACUUGGAGGAUUCAUUCUUAGAAUAAGUUAAAAACAUCUGGGACAAUUCUGAGGGUGAGUUUUUAAGUAAGCUAAACAGUAUGAAAAGGGGGUUGGAGGGAUGGGCUAAAAAAAUACAUUACUCUAGGGAAGGAAGGAAAAAGUUGCUAUCCACAAAACUGGCCACAUUAUUAGAGGCGGAAAAAGAUAAAGAAAUUCUGGCAGAUCUGAUUGAUAUGAAAAUUCAACUGAACUUGGAGAUUGAAAAGGAUGAACGGUAUUGGGAACAAAGAGCGAGGGUUAACUGGUUAAAGCUUGGGGAGAAGAAUACAGCCUUCUUCCACAAACAAGCAACGCAGAAAAGAUAGAGGAACCUGACUCAAAAAAUGCAGAAUGAUCAUAGAAGGGAAAUAGAGGACUCAAAUGAAAUGAAGGCGAUAACCAGAAUUUAUUUUCAAAAGGUUUUUUCUGCGGGUAGAAGAGCAAAUUAUGAGCAUGUUUUGUCUGGAGUUACCCAAUGUAUAUCGGAGGAAGACAAUUUUAUGCUAAAAGAGAGAUACACAAAGGAGGAGAUUCAGCAGGCAUUAUCGUAAUUAGGGCCCACCAAAGAACCAGGGGAAGAUGGACUUCCAACAUUAUUCUACCAGAAAUGCUGGACGAUUAUUGGGGAUGAAGUGACUAACUUCUGUCUCGAUCAUCUAAAUGGAGGGAUGGAGAUUGGCCCAAUCAACAAAACAAAUAUCGUUUUAAUUCUAAAAAUUUCAAAUCCAGUGGAUAUUUCACACUUUAGGCCCAUUAGUUUGUGUAAUGUUAUAUAUAAAUUAAUGGCCAAAGUUAUUGCGAAUCGUCUUCGAAAAGUUUUAGAAAAAUGCAUUAAUCCUGCCCAAAGUGCUUUUGUGCCUGGGAGAUUAAUUUCGGAUAAUGUAUUGUUGGCAUAUGAGCUAUUCCAUACACAAACAGAAGAGGGUAGGGAAGAAAGGAUUUAUGGCGGUCAAGCUGGAUAUGAGCAAGGCGUAUGAUAGGGUAGAAUGAAACUUUGUGGAGGAGAUGUUGAAGAAAAUGGGCUUUGACUCAGAGUGGGUAGCUUUACUUUUAAGGUGUGUAAAUUCGGUUUCUUAUUCGGUGGUUCUUAAUGGUAAAAAUGGAGAAAUUUUCACCCCCUCUAGAGGAUUGCGACAAGGUGACCCAUUGAGUCCGUUUUUAUUCCUAUUUUGUGGAGAAGGCCUUUCUAGCCUCAUGAGGCUAGGAAUAUAGGAGAACAAAGUCAGAGGGGUCAAAGCAAGCAGAAGUGGACCACAGGUUUCACAUCUACUAUUUGCAGAUGAUUGUAUGCUGUUUGGGGAAGCAACAGAAAGGAGUUUAAGUUACUUGAAACAGAUUCUGCAUCAAUACGAAGCUUGUUCGGGUCAGAAGGUAAAUUAUUCGAAGUCUAUAAUUUUUUUCAGCAGCAACACACAGGAGGAAGAAAUACGAACAAUUAAUCGAGUUCUUAGGGUGCGAGGAUCAGAUGACAUGGAAAGAUAUCUAGGGCUCCCUAACUUGGUGGGAAGAAGGAAAAAAGCUGCGUUUCAGAUUUUAAAAGAUAGAUUCAGGCAACGAAUUGAUAAUUGGAGCAUCAAAUACCUCUCACAAGGAGGUAAGGAGAUUUUCAUCAAAGCUGUUUUACAAUCCAUUCCAACAUACGCAAUGUCUUGUUUUUUACUCCCUAUAUCUCUUUGUAAGGAAUUAGAAAGCAUUAUUGCAAAAUUUUGGUGGCAAAAAAAUAAGGGGAAAAAGGGGAUGCAUUGGUGUGCAUGGAAGGACAUUUGCUUAGUAAAAGAAUUAGGUGGUCUAGGUUUUAGAUGCUUAGAUAAGUUUAAUAUAGCAUUAUUAGCUAAACAAGGUUGGCGUCUUAUUAAUUAUCCGAGUUCUUUGUUAGCCCGAGUUUUAAAAGCUAAAUACUUACAUAGAAAGAACUUCUUGAAUGCAUCUUUAAGUAACUUACCUUCACUUACCUGGAGAAGCAUUUGGUCAACAAAAAAACUCCUGAUGGACGGAUUAUGCUAGAGGGUAGGUGUAGGGGACCAUAUCUCCGUAUGGAAUGAUUGCUGGGUUUCGGGAGCAACUGAAGAUAGAUUACAGAAUAACAGCAGAAGUGAAAGUAUCAGAGUAGUGGCCGACUUAAUUAAUGCAGAGAGUAGAACAUGGAAAAGAGACUUGAUUGUCAAUACCUUUAAUACGGAUAUCGCAAGGAAGAUUCUACGGAUUCCACUUUCAAAGACUGCCCAAGAAGACAUCCAAGUAUGGAGAGGGGAGGCUACUGGAGUCUUUUCAGUUAGAAGCGCUUAUAAACUAUUACAGGAGUCAACAUUAGAGCCUAAUGCUUAUUUACAGACUGAUACAAAAAAAUUUUACAAGAAAUUAUGGAAACUACAGUUGCCCUUAAAAAUUAAAAUUACAGUAUGGAGAAUAACGUGGAAUUACAUAUCCACUUUCUCUAAUCUAAAAUCGAGAAGAGGUUCGUUGUUUGAGAUGUAGCCAGGACGAAGAAGAUAGCAUCCACGUCUUCCAAAUGUGUCCUAUAGCAAAAGAAAUAUGGAGUCAUUUGAACUUUUCUUGGGUACUUAAUGACAAUCAUGGUGAUAUAUGGAGUUGGCUUAUCUGGGUAUUCAGCAAAGGGACAAAUGAACAGUGCAUGGGAUUUUGCUGCGGGCUAUGGGGAAUCUGGACAAGCAGAAAUAAGUUUAUAUAUGAAAGAAAAUAUAGUACCAGUUGGGAUAUAUCGAAGCAAAUUCAAAGUUAUAUUUUAGAACUAGAAGGUGUUAAAGAAAGGGUACUCACUUUGGCAACCAGUACAAGGCCUAGACAGAGGAUACGAAGGGCGAAUAAGGCCAUCUUUUUCGAUGCGGCGUUUGAUUCACAAAACCACAGAUCUGCGUCAGGUCUUAUUGUUAAAAAUGAGGCGGGCAGAAUCGUUGGAGCAAAAUCGAUCCUUCAUGACAAUGUUGCAUCUCCGUUUGCGGCGGAAGCAUAUGCAAGAUUUCAAGCAACAAGGUUAGGGAUCCAGUUGGAAUAUUAUACUUUGGAUAUAAUAGGAGAUUCAAAAACAGUGAUAAAAAAAUGUCAAAGUGGAAACCGAGACAGAUCAGAAAUAGGAGGAAUUAUCAGCGAUAUUCAAAGCUUCAAAGAUUUAUUCCACAAAGUCAGAUUUUACUUCAACUCAAGGUCUGAAAAUAUUGAAGCACACAGACUAGCAAAAAGAACACUUCAAACGGGAGUGGAACAGUACCUGGAGGGAGAGACCUUAAGAUCGAUUGGUGAAGACUCGGAGCCAAGCUGCUUGGGUAAUCUAGAGUAGAAAGGAAAGGGGAUAAGAUUUUGGCUUUUGGCAUCAAUAAAUGACGAUUGAAAUGAAAAGGAGGAUGUUGUUUGUAAAAGUAAUCUGAUAAGUAAAAGAUUUGAAAGGAUUUGCUUUUACUUUUCAGUUGUCUUGGGCAGAGGAAAAGGCAGAUGGAUUUAUGAAGACAACUGACCGAUCGACUGGAAUUUUGAAUUUGUUUAUUUUAUUAUUUUACUUAAGGUGGGCUAAAUUGAUGUAAGCCUGCUUUUGCUGGUUUUGUUUCUUAGGUUUUGUUUAUUGGGUUCGACCCAAGAGACGUUUUCGUUUUAAUUUUAGGGUGUUAAUCCAGUCGAUUUUUCAAAAAAAAAUUUAUUGAAGCACGAUUUUUAUGUGUGAUAUGACUAGAUCAAAAGUAUAAUUUGAUUUUGGUUGACUAUGUGACCCA